rnacentral:rRNA from 1 species
ACUCCUGCGGGAGGCAGCAGUGGGGAAUAUUGGACAAUGGGCGCAAGCCUGAUCCAGCCAUGCCGCGUGAGUGAUGAAGGCCCUAGGGUUGUAAAGCUCUUUCACCGGUGAAGAUAAUGACGGUAACCGGAGAAGAAGCCCCGGCUAACUUCGUGCCAGCAGCCGCGGUAAUACGAAGGGGGCUAGCGUUGUUCGGAUUUACUGGGCGUAAAGCGCACGUAGGCGGACUAUUAAGUCAGGGGUGAAAUCCCGGGGCUCAACCCCGGAACUGCCUUUGAUACUGGUAGUCUUGAGUUCGAGAGAGGUGAGUGGAAUUACGAGUGUAGAGGUGAAAUUCGUAGAUAUUCGGAGGAACACCAGUGGCGAAGGCGGCUCACUGGCUCGAUACUGACGCUGAGGUGCGAAAGCGUGGGGAGCAAACAGGAUUAGAAACCCGUGUAGUCCCAUGAU